rnacentral:rRNA from 1 species
UAGGGAAUCUUCGGCAAUGGACGAAAGUCUGACCGAGCAACGCCGCGUGAGUGAAGAAGGUUUUCGGAUCGUAAAACUCUGUUGGUAGAGAAGAACGUUGGUGAGAGUGGAAAGCUCAUCAAGUGACGGUAACUACCCAGAAAGGGCGGCUAACUACGUGCC